GAAUCUGUCCCCAUGAGCGUUAAAAUAGGCAGUGUGAGGGGAAAGCACCACGCCAGAUCUCCGUCGCAGCUGGACUUCUGCCAGCUCCUGGUCUUCAUCCAAGAGCAAAGUCAAGUUUGGCAGCUUGUCUCCUGUUAUGUCCAGCUGCAGUCCAUUUCACAGCCCCUCGGAUCCUCGGCCUUGAAGCAUGUGACCGACCCAUCUUAGGAAGAAAAACUUUGGAAUUGAAAACUGCCGUUGACCACUAUCAAAAGGCAAGCAAACUUCAGGUCAGGGGCCCAGUGGUGAACUGACAGUUUAAGUUCCUGCCAUCAUGGAAU